rnacentral:lncRNA from 1 species
AGCAUGGCUUGGUAGCGUUGGAAUUAGCAUUACAUUAUUUUUGUCGCCCAUUAUUUCUACAAUUUGUCAACGAAAAAGUGCUAGGAUUUACGCCGUCAUCGGUGGCCUUAUUUGUGCAUUGGGGUGCCUAUUCUUGGCUUUUUCAAAUCAAAUGGAGCAGGUUUUCAUCAGCCAUUGUGUUGUUUUGUCUCCCGGAAGUGGAAUUACUCUCAACACAGCAAACAUCAUUAUUGGCCGUUACUUUCGGAAGAAGCGAGAAUUAGCUGAGAUGAUAAUGUUAUCUGGAACAGGACUCGGAGCGGCUUUGUUAGCAGUUCUUUUUAGAGAGCUAUAUUGGUACGUACAAAAAAUACUCAAACAUUUUACUUGCUCGAUUACAUUUUUUUAAAGGUUUAAUAAUUAUUAUAGCUCUUACUGUCUAUAUGUGGUUGAGUUCAGAAAUCAGUACCAAUGUAUUUGGAAGACAAGUAUCUCAAAGUUCUCUUCAAUAAAAAAAUCAAUCUGUUAUCACUUUAACUCAAAAUUGGAACCUCAUUUUGAAAUUCUUGUAUACAAAUAAUAUAAUUUGACAGGAUAUUUGUUAUUUUAGGAAAUUAGAAUGGAGAUAUGCAUUACAGUGUAUUGCUGGCCUUCUAGUGUUGACAAUAUUGGCAGGAUCCCUCUACAGAUCAGCUUCCAU